CGAGCACGCGCGUGUGGCAUAUCAAUAAGCGGAGGAAAAGAAACUAACAAGGAUUCCCUUAGUAACGGCGAGUGAAGCGGGAAGAGCUCAAAUUUGAAAUCUUCAAGGUUCUACCUUGACGAAUUGUAGUUUAUAGGAGUGUUUUCUGUUAGUAGAGUGGCAAAAGUUCUUUGGAAUAGGACAUCAUAGAGGGUGAGAAUCCCGUAUUUGGUCAUUCUUUCUAGCUUUGUGAUACACUUUCAACGAGUCGGAUUGUUUGGGAAUGCAGUCCAAAAUGGGUGGUAAAUUUCAUCUAAAGCUAAAUAUUGGCGAGAGACCGAUAGCGAACAAGUACCGUGAGGGAAAGAUGAAAAGAACUUUGAAAAGAGAGUUAAACAGUACGUGAAAUUGUCAAAAGGGAAGCGUUUGACACCAGUGUUGUUUUUCCGAAAAUCAAUUACGAAUAGUUUUAUUUUUGAAGAGUUAUGACUUCAUCGGCUUGCUUCUUUCUUUACGAAACUUUCUUAAUGCACUUUUCGGUUAACAAGUCAACAUCAAUUUCUUUUGUUGUAAAAGGGUAUGAGGAAGGUGGCUUUCUUUUCGGAGAAAGUGUUUAUAGCCUUGUACCUCUGCAAUCGGAGAGAUUGAGGUCUGCAGCGUAGAUCCUUCGGGGUUAGAUACAUUUGUGCUAAGUUAUAGCUUUUCAUAGACAACUUGUUGACUAUGUUUAGUCUUGUAGCUUACUCGCUGACGCUAUUUUACCUACGCUUAGGAUGUUGAGUAGCGACAUACGCAC
rnacentral:rRNA from 1 species